CCCGAAUCUUCUCUCCAGACCUUCAGGGACUGACGUUGUCCUCGUAAGGAAUGUCUGCACUGACAGGCACUAGCCUUAUCGUGCUGUACAGAGGAGUCUCGCCAUCCAGCAGCAGUCUGAGGAAAUGGAGCCUGGAGAAGUCCCGCGAAUUCAUACAGCCUUGUGUGCGCCGAGUGUGUGGCUGCUGCCGUGGCCCCAUUCUGAGUGGAUAUCAUGGACUGCAUGGCGGCUAACCCUGGAGAGCACCGACUCUAAAGGCAAAGACUUGGACAUACAAGAUGGUGGACACCGGGGACUCAGCCGCAGGAGGGGAGACACUUCUUUUGUGUGAGUGAAUGAAGGACAUCAUUUGUAGCUAUUUAUAUCGUCAGUGGUUAGAAAUGGAAGGGAUUACUACAGGAUGGAUUCAUUUUAUUUUUCCUGUAAAAUAGAGGUGACGGCUACUUGCUGAAAAUGA